AGCUCUGAUGACAGCCCUGCCCGCGAGUAAGAAGAAAGCCCAUCGGGUUUGUAAAGUACUUCCAGCGGGAGGAAGGGUCUUAAGGUUAUUAACCUUAGCCAUUGACGGUACCCGCAGAAGAAGCACCGGGCUACCUCGUGCCAGCCAGCCGCGGGUAAUACGGAGGGUGCAAGGCGUUAAUCGGGAUUACUGGGCGUAAGCGCACGGCAGGCGGUCUGUCAAGUCGGAUGUGAAAUCCCCGGGCUCAACCUGGGAAAUGCAUUCGAAACUGGCAGGCUAGAGUCUUGUAGAAGGGGGGUAGAUUCCCAGGUGUAGCGGUGAAAUGCGUAGAGAUCUGGAGGAAUACCCGGUGGCGAAGGCGGCCCCCUGGACAAAGACUGACGCUCAGGUGCGAAAGCGUGGGGAGCAAACAGGAUUAGAUACCCUGGUAGUCCACGCCGUAAACGAUGUCGACUUGGAGGUUGUGCCCUUGAGGCGUGGCUUCCGGAGCUAACGCGUUAAGUCGACCGCCUGGGGAGUACGGCCGCAAGGUUAAAACUCAAAUGAAUUGACGGGGGCCCGCACAAGCGGUGGAGCAUGUGGUUUAAUUCGAUGCAACGCGAAGAACCUUACCUACUCUUGACAUCCAGAGAACUUUCCAGAGAUGGAUUGGUGCCUUCGGGAACUCUGAGACAGGUGCUGCAUGGCUGUCGUCAGCUCGUGUUGUGAAAUGUUGGGUUAAGUCCCGCAACGAGCGCAACCCUUAUCCUUUGUUGCCAGCGGUUCGGCCGGGAACUCAAAGGAGACUGCCAGUGAUAAACUGGAGGAAGGUGGGGAUGACGUCAAGUCAUCAUGGCCCUUACGAGUAGGGCUACACACGUGCUACAAUGGCGCAUACAAAGAGAAGCGACCUCGCGAGAGCAAGCGGACCUCAUAAAGUGCGUCGUAGUCCGGAUUGGAGUCUGCAACUCGACUCCAUGAAGUCGGAAUCGCUAGUAAUCGUAGAUCAGAAUGCUACGGUGAAUACGUUCCCGGGCCUUGUACACACCGCCCGUCACACCAUGGGAGUGGGUUGCAAAAGAAGUGGGUAGCUUAACCUUCGGGAGGGCCCCCUCCUUAGAGUGUGAUCCGGGCUCAGGCUGGUUCACCUACCGUAGAUUGGCCCA
rnacentral:rRNA from 3 species